CUACCCAUGCCGGCCCGUGAUUCUUGUACAUGUGCUGCACUUUAUACACUUGCAGAAAAUAGGGUUGGCCGUGCGCAAGAGCAAGAACAGGACACCCUAGUGACUUUGUUCCGAGCUAUGCGUCCGGGAGGAAGCAAGGAAUGGCGAAACUUUCAGCUGGUCUCUUGGUUUAAUUGAAAUUAGGCGAACGGUACGGUUGCCUAAUAUGUGAUGUGGAUCAUGAAGUUAUUUGGAGUAUCUAUCUAAUCUCACUUAACAAAGAAAAAGCUUUGCACUCACAUGUGCAAUUGCUUCCAGUGAUACGGUCCAGUAGUUGUCACCCAACAUUUAAUUCUUGAUGAUUAAUGCCGAUAAGAGGUCAUGGGAUCAUAUUCCACAAAAACCUUAAAUGUAAAGUUUACCUAA